CAGUCGCCGCGGUAAUACGAAGGGGGCUAGCGUUGCUCAGAAUGACUGGGCGUAAAGGGCUCGCAGGCGGUUUCUUAAGUCUGAUGUGAAAGCCCCCGGCUCAACCGGGGAGGGUCAUUGGAAACUGGGAAACUUGAGUGCAGAAGAGGAGAGUGGAAUUCCACGUGUAGCGGUGAAAUGCGUAGAGAUGUGGAGGAACACCAGUGGCGAAGGCGACUCUCUGGUCUGUAACUGACGCUGAGGAGCGAAAGCGUGGGGAGCGAACAGGAUUAGAUACCCGCGUAGUCCCUGUCUCUUAUAU
rnacentral:rRNA from 1 species